rnacentral:rRNA from 1 species
AUUGAACGCUGGCGGCAUGCCUUACACAUGCAAGUCGAACGGCAGCACGGGGGCAACCCUGGUGGCGAGUGGCGUACGGGUGAGUAAUGCAUCGGAACGUGUCCUCUUGUGGGGGAUAACCAGUCGAAAGACUGGCUAAUACCGCAUGAGCUCGAGAGUGGAAAGCGGGGGACCGCAAGGCCUCGCGCGAGAGGAGCGGCCGAUGUCCGAUUAGCUAGUUGGCGGGGUAACGGCCCACCAAGGCGACGAUCGGUAGCUGGUCUGAGAGGACGACCAGCCACACUGGGACUGAGACACGGCCCAGACUCCUACGGGAGGCAGCAGUGGGGAAUUUUGGACAAUGGGCGCAAGCCUGAUCCAGCCAUGCCGCGUGUGUGAAGAAGGCCUUCGGGUUGCAAAGCACUUUCGGGCGGAACGAAAUCGCGCGGAUGAACAAUCCGCGUGGAUGACGGUACCGCAAGAAGAAGCACCGGCUAACUACGUGCCAGCCGCCGCGGUAA